rnacentral:sRNA from 1 species
AAGGGCCGAAUGCUGGCCCUAGUGGAGUCCCCUGGUGAGGCCAGGAGGGGUCCCAGGUGCUAGGGGCAUCGCCCAGGGUCGAAGCUUCGGGAAGGGGCAGGGAGCUCAGGACCACUCUCCUUGGUUCCAAAGGGAAUGGGCCAGCACUUGCCAGGUGGGGGCUUCCCUCUGGUGUGUGGCCUGCAUGCAAGGCCCCACUCUGAGUGUGAGAGCAGGAUGGGGCUGGAGGGCUCCCUCUCAGCUCCUGAGUCCUUCCACCUGUUCUGUCCAGAGUCCAUGAUUCUGCUGGGCUCCAUCGAGCGUUCACAGGUGGUGGCAUUGCUGGGGGCCCAGCUGAGCCCAGCCCGCCGGCGGCAGCACAUGCAGAAGCGCAGAGCCACCCAGACCUCUCCACUAUCUGAUCAGGAGGGUCCCCCUAGCCCUGAGGCUUCUGUCUGCUUCCAGGUGAACACAGAAGACUCAGCCUUCCCGGCAGCCCGGGGGGAGACCCACAAGCCCCUAAAGCCUGCACUCAAGAGGGGGCCCAGUGUCACCAGGAACCUUGGAGAGAGUCCCACAGGGAAUGCAGAGUCGGCAGGCAUCACCCUCCGGAGCCUCUUCUGUGGCAGUCCACCCCCUGAGGCU